CCUACGGGGUGCUGCAGUGGGGAAUAUUGGACAAUGGGCGAAAGCCCGAUCCAGCCAUGCCGCGUGUGUGAAGAAGGCCUUCGGGUUGUAAAGCACUUUCAGUGGGGAAGAAAGCCUUGGGGCUAAUACCCUCGAGGAAGGACAUCACCCACAGAAGAAGCACCGGCUAACUCCGUGCCAGCAGCCGCGGUAAUACGGAGGGUGCGAGCGUUAAUCGGAAUUACUGGGCGUAAAGCGCGCGUAGGCGGUCUGAUAAGCCGGUUGUGAAAGCCCCGGGCUCAACCUGGGAACGGCAUCCGGAACUGUCAGGCUAGAGUGCAGGAGAGGAAGGUAGAAUUCCCGGUGUAGCGGUGAAAUGCGUAGAGAUCGGGAGGAAUACCAGUGGCGAAGGCGGCCUUCUGGACUGACACUGACGCUGAGGUGCGAAAGCGUGGGUAGCAAACAGGAUUAGAUACCCCAGUAGUC
rnacentral:rRNA from 1 species